rnacentral:rRNA from 1 species
GAUGAACGCUGGCGGCGUGCCUAAUACAUGCCAGUCGAGCGAACAGACGAGGAGCUUGCUCCUCUGACGUUAGCGGCGGACGGGUGAGUAACACGUGGAUAACCUACCUAUAAGACUGGGAUAACUUCGGGAAACCGGAGCUAAUACCGGAUAAUAUAUUGAACCGCAUGGUUCAAUAGUGAAAGACGGUUUUGCUGUCACUUAUCGAUGGAUCCCCGCCGCAUUAGCUAGUUGGUAAGGUAACGGGUUACCAAGGCAACGAUGCGUAGCCGACCUGAGAGGGUGAUCGGCCACACUGGAACUGGGACACGGUCCAGACUCCUACGGGAGGCAGCAGUAGGGAAUCUUCCGCAAUGGGCGAAAGCCUGACGGAGCAACGCCGCGUGAGUGAUGAAGGUCUUCGGAUCGUAAAACUCUGUUAUUAGGGAAGAACAAAUGUGUAAGUAACUAUGCACGUCUUGACGGUACCUAAUCAGAAAGCCACGGCUAACUACGUG